UACGGAGCGGCGCACGGGUGAGUAUCACGUGGGCAACCCUGCCUCGAAGACUGGGAUAACCCUGGGAAACUGGGGCUAAUACCGGAUACCCUCCCGGGUCGCAUGGCCUGGGAGGAAAUGGAUUCCGCUUCGAGAGGGGCCCGCGGCCUAUCAGCUUGUUGGUGGGGUAACGGCCUACCAAGGCUAUGACGGGUAGCCGGCCUGAGAGGGCGAUCGGCCACACCGGGACUGAGAUACGGCCCGGACUCCUACGGGAGGCAGCAGUUGGGAAAUCUUGCGCAAUGGGCGAAAGCCUGACGCAGCGAUGCCGCGUGAGGGAUGAAGGCCUUCGGGUUGUAAACCUCUUUCGGCAGGGAAGAAGCCACGGGUAACCGUGGUGACGGUACCUGCAAAAGAAGCCCCGGCUAACUACGUGC
rnacentral:rRNA from 1 species